ensembl:snoRNA
ACCCUUCUGUGCUUCAUCAGCCUGAUUAUUGGGUUUUCAUGCAGACGUGUGAGUUAUGCCUCCCUCAAGCCUUGUCACGACAUCCGCACAUUACCAGUCUGAUG